rnacentral:rRNA from 1 species
UACGGGGGGGGCAAGCGUUGUUCGGAAUUACUGGGCGUAAAGGGCUCGUAGGCGGCCUGUUAAGUCGAACGUGAAAUCCCCGGGCUCAACCCGGGAACUGCGUCCGAUACUGGCAGGCUUGAAUCCGGGAGAGGGAUGCGGAAUUCCAGGUGUAGCGGUGAAAUGCGUAGAUAUCUGGAGGAACACCGGUGGCGAAGGCGGCAUCCUGGACCGGCAUUGACGCUGAGGCGCGAAAGCCAGGGGAGCAAACGGG